UACGUAGGGGGCUAGCGUUGUCCGGAUUUAUUGGGCGUAAAGAGCGUGUAGGCGGCCAGGUAGGUCUGGUGUGAAAACUCGAGGCUCAACCUCGAGCUGUCGGUGGAAACCGUGUGGCUAGAGUCCGGAAGAGGAGAGUGGAAUUCCCGGUGUAGCGGUGAAAUGCGCAGAUAUCGGAAGGAACAUCAGUGGCGAAGGCGACUUUCUGGACAGAGACUGACACUGAGGCACGAAAGCGUGGGGAGCAAACAGG
rnacentral:rRNA from 1 species